UGGGACUGUUGAGGUGUGAACGUGGAC
rnacentral:piRNA from 2 species